rnacentral:rRNA from 1 species
GUGAGGAAUUUUCAGCAAUGGGCGAAAGACUGACGGAGCAAUGCCGCGUGAAGGAUGCAGGCCUAUGGGUUGUAAACUUCUUUUCUCAGAAAAGAAUUAUGACGGUAUCUGAGGAAUAAGCAUCGGCUAACUCUGUGCCAGCAGCCGCGGUAAUACAGAGGAUGCAAGCGUUCCCCGGAAUGCUCGGGCGUAAAGCGUCUGUAGGUUGUUUAAAAAGUAUUCUUUCAAAGAUUAGGGCUUAACCCUAGAUAGGCAGAAUAAACUUUUAAGCUAGAGUUUGGUAGAAGCAGAGGGAAUUCCCGGUGGAGCGGUGAAAUGCGUAGAUAGCGGGAGGUACACCAAAGGCGAAGGCACUCUGCUGGGCCAAUACUAACACUGAGAGACGAAAGCGAGGAGAACAAAUGGGAUUAGAUACCCUUGUAGUCC